AGGAGCCAUGGCAGCAACAGCAGAUACAUGCUAGGAAUAUCUCCUGACGAGAGAGCAAGAGCAAGGGUACAUGUCUGCUGCUGAAGUCUGACUGUACUUAGUGGAAGCUUUGCAAAAGAUACACCAGCAAGACUAGCACAGAUAGUACUCUCAAAAGAAAUAAUAAUAAUAUAAGUUAUUCAGGAUUACUCUGAAAAAGGAUGGCCUUAACGCUGUCAGGACCUUGGUGGAAGUCUGUGGGAGUUUGCUUUAACUGUAAGCUGCAGGAAACUGAAAAAUGGAGUCUGAUGAUACAGUAAGAAGGACACCAGCACCUCUCCUUUCUCCUUGAGGAGGGAACAUGCAGUUCCCAUGAAAGAAGAUCAGAUCAAGACCCAUUGGAUCAACUGUCUGUCUGGAAGCAUUUUUGUAAGAGGCAAAGAUAAAGGACCAUCUCAAGAAUCAGGAAGAGGUUAAGGGCACACAGAAGAGAAAAGAGGGAGAAGACCGAGGUUGGGCAGGGACCACAGAGGCUCCAAAAGUCGUGGCACUGAGUACAAGCCCUACAGCUGCGUGACAGAACAUGUCAGCAUUGCUAAUGGUAAUCUGGGGAGUGAAGCUUUUUCCGGGACCAAUUGAUUGUAAUCAUAUUCUGCAUUAGCACUGCUUUCUGAAAGGGCAUCUGGAGCUCAAGGUUCAAAGGAGGAUUGCAGCCCUGCUUUUCUUUUUAGUGUCCCUUAUGUUAAAGGCUUCCAAGACUAAGUGGUUGGCCUCGUCUUACUAUUACAACUCCUCACUCCUCCUGAGAGUUUAUGUGCUCGUUAGCAGUGAGAUCCUCUAAGGAGGGGUUGCUGUGCCAUUAACUCAGUUGGAAAUGUAAGAAUGGACCUUGCUGAGUGAAUAUUUAUGUCUGAAUGAUGCUUAACAUACUUGGCAUACUGCUAGGAAUACUUCACUAAUAAUAACUCACAGUAAUGUCUCAAGUAGAGAUCGUUAUAAACACGGAAGAGGAAAGAAGCAAGAGGUGUAGAACAUUAUGGCUGUCCAUUCAUCUUGGAUCAUUUUCAGGAAAAUCCUUCAACAGGCAUAUCUGAGUUAAAAAUUGCUUUUGCUGCUGCCACAAGUUCCAAUUAGUGAAAAGAAAUGAUCUGUUCUCUACUGCAUUUUGAAUGAAGAGGUAAUUUUGUGUGUUCUUUUAUUUAUUUUUUUUCUUUUCAGAUAAUGUCACUGAAACAUUAAAGAGGAUAGCUGAAUAACAAAGAAUAUGAAAAUGCCAAUUGCUCUUCUCUGGUCUUCAAUUUAUUUUGCAGACCAUAGUGGGCACAGACACAUUAGUUAUAGGUGCACAUGACAUGUCCUCUGGGUUCUAUCUCACUUCUGUCAUUUUAAAAUGAGGCUGGAAGCAUUCCUCUGCUCUCUUUUUACCAGUCAUUCCCAGCCCUUUAGCACCAUCAUCACUUCACUGCUUUACAUUAUAAAUACCUCCACCAACUGUCUUGUAAGGACAGAGACUGCUACUGUAUCCAUGUGAUUCAUGGGAAACCGAAUGAGGACAGUACUUAGUGGUUUAUCCAAGGU